GACCUAGUCAUGAGAUGAGUAUAUAUAUAUAUAUAUGUGUGUGUGUGUGUGUGUGUGUGUGUGUGUGUGUGUGUAUACAUACACAAAUAUAAAAUACAU
rnacentral:miRNA from 1 species